UACGUAAGGACCGAGCGUUGUCCGGAAUCAUUGGGCGUAAAGGGUACGUAGGUGGUUAGAAAAGUUAGAAGUGAAAGGCUAUAGCUCAACUAUAGUAAGCUUUUAAAACUGCUCAUCUUGAGGUAUGGAAGGGAAAGUGGAAUUCCUAGUGUAGUGGUGAAAUACGUAGAUAUUAGGAGGAAUACCAGUAGCGAAGGCGACUUUCUGGACACAAACUGACGCUGAGGAACGAAAGCGUGGGUAGCAAACAGG
rnacentral:rRNA from 1 species